UACGUAGGGUGCAAGCGUUGUCCGGAAUUAUUGGGCGUAAAGAGCUCGUAGGCGGUUUGUCGCGUCUGCUGUGAAAACUCGGGGCUCAACUCCGAGCUUGCAGUGGGUACGGGCAGACUAGAGUGCGGUAGGGGAGACUGGAAUUCCUGGUGUAGCGGUGGAAUGCGCAGAUAUCAGGAGGAACACCGGUGGCGAAGGCGGGUCUCUGGGCAGUAACUGACGCUGAGGAGCGAAAGCGUGGGGAGCGAACAGG
rnacentral:rRNA from 1 species